GUCAGGAUAGCUCAGUGGUCUAAGGUGUCAGACUCAAGUUCUGAUCUUUGGAGAGGACGUGGAUUCAAAUUCCACUUUUGACA